ACCAUAUGUUUUGAAAUCCUUGUGGUCUGGAUAGUGACCAGCUAGAUUUUUCAGCCUGAGGCUUCCCCACCCCACUGAGGAAGAUUUUGGAGCCCAAAAGUGCCUGAGCACCCUGAAGUCCCUCUGGCACUUAUAAAUACAAUUAAAGCACCUUUGCAGAAGAGUGUUUGCAAAGAGAACUGGAGAUCACUGCUGUCUACACCCUGCUUUUCUGCAGGCUGCUGUCUUGAUGCAUUUCUGUAUCAUGAAAUUUCACCAAAAUCCAUGUUUGAAGUGCAGAUUUUCUCCAGGCAAACUGUGGGCUGAUGAGCCUGGCCUGUGCAAAAGUGUCAGCAUUGACAGCUGGAUGCAAAAUGGGAUCUGAAGUACAGGGGUCUGGAAGGCAGAAACUUUGUGUUAUGUGGCCUUUCUGUUCUUAUAUUUAGGAUAUUAUUAUGGUUGAGUACUUUCUUUCAUAAUACACUCCUGUGAUGACUCCCAAAUAUACUCCUUCAGAGAUAUUCUGCAGCCAGUUAUCCAGAUAAUGAAGGAGGGCAGGGAGAGGGAGGGGGAAGAAUGCCCACAGCUAAGGUGAAACAUGUGCCAGUGAGACAGUAACUAGUCAGUGUGUCCAUCUUUUAUUAGGCAGAAAGUGCAUCUCCUUAGGGCCACAGAUGACCUGGGGCUCCUGGAAGCUGUAAGCAGAGAGCAGCAGCAACAAGCUGAACAAAGGUUGGAGGCAGCACGCUUCUUCUGUUUCCCCUGAAUUCCUUUCAUCAGUCCAGUGACUACAUGAGUCCUGAUGACACAUUUCUGGGUCACAUGUGCCAGAAAGAUGGACUAUAUGGAGAUACAUGGCAUGGAAACUAUUCUAGCUCGAGACCAGUUACGUACACAGGUUUCAGACGUGCUGUAAAUGUGUAUAAUCUUCACAUGGACUUUAUUAAUAGCACAAGACUGAGACACGGAGAGCCAGUUACAUUGCUCCACAUAUAAGUAAAGCAACAGAAAUACAGUC